rnacentral:ncRNA from 1 species
UCUUGAUGUAGAGGCGCGAUAGCGAAAAGUAACCAUCGUUGGGGUGAUACCAAUGAACGAUGAUGAAAGCUCUAUCGCCGAAGUGAGAAUAGACCAUCAAUCUCUCUCGCUGGGGUUGUCUUCGAAAGGAACAACACUGCCAUAGUCUAUUAUAUUGUUAAACUAUGGAGCGCUACUGUAGGG